AGAAAGUGCUCCCAUUGAGCUUCUGUGGGAGGGGUAGGUGACAUGAAAAAAUGUCAUCAGGCACAGUGGAGAGGGAGAAGGGAGCAACUCCAUCCAAGUCCCUCUGCCUUUCUAGUAACCAACUAUUGAGGAGGGGGUGGCCAUAUGCCCACAGAGUGCUCUGUGUGCCAUCUUUGGUACCCAUACCAUAGGUUUGCCAUCACUGAGCUAGAAGAUCAGGAAAGGCUUCAUGGAAAAAAAUGUUAUUUGAUCUCAAUCUUGAAGUAAAGAGCUUAAAGAAAUUGAGGUCAAAAGAAUGUCAUACAACUAGCAAGUGGCAUGCUGGGACAAGAAGCCCCUUUCUCCAGCCUAAUGAGGAAUGGAACUUCCUGAGAGAAAGAAAAGGAAGAAAAGGCAGAAGGCUGGACCUGAGAUUGUCAGGCUGA
rnacentral:lncRNA from 1 species